rnacentral:rRNA from 1 species
UACAUAGGGUGCGAGCGUUAAUCGGAAUUACUGGGCGUAAAGCGUGCGCAGGCGGUUCGUUGUGUCGGCGGUGAAAGCCCCGGGCUUAACCUGGGAAUGGCCGUCGAAACUGGCGAACUGGAGUGUGGCAGAGGGGGGUGGAAUUCCGCGUGUAGCAGUGAAAUGCGUAGAGAUGCGGAGGAACACCGAUGGCGAAGGCAGCCCCCUGGGCUGACACUGACGCUCAGGCACGAAAGCGUGGGGAGCAAACAGG